CUUAGUCUUUCUUUUGUUACCAUUUCAGGGUAAUAAUGCAAUCUAUAAAAGGGAAUUGCGAUAGUUGAAAUAGUUAAAGGCAUUUAUUAGAACUACAGUUAAAGCAAAAUACGUACUAAUCAACUACCCAUAUUUGAGAUGAGUCAAUGUUUGAGUCUCGUGAAUGCUAUCCAAGAAAUCAGGGGAUUUUAGCAAUCCUCUAGCCAAAGUUUGGUUGCUGGACUUGGAGAUCCAUCGCUGGAAGCGGCCGAUAGAAGAGAUCGAAGGAGGACCCUCCU
rnacentral:lncRNA from 1 species